rnacentral:rRNA from 1 species
AAUAGAUACCCCGGUAGUCCACGCCGUAAACGAUGAGUGCUAAGUGUUAGAGGGUUUCCGCCCUUUAGUGCUGCAGCUAACGCAUUAAGCACUCCGCCUGGGGAGUACGGCCGCAAGGCUGAAACUCAAAGGAAUUGACGGGGGGCCCGCACAAGCGGUGGAGCAUGUGGUUUAAUUCGAAGCAACGCGAAGAACCUUACCAGGUCUUGACAUCCUCUGACACUCCUAGAGAUAGGACUUUUCCCUUCGGGGAACAGAGUGACAGGUGGUGCAUGGUUGUCGUCAGCUCGUGUCGUGAGAUGUUGGGUUAAGUCCCGCAACGAGCGCAACCCUUGAUCUUAGUUGCCAGCAUUCAGUUGGGCACUCUAAGGUGGCUGCCGGUGACAAACCGGAGGAAGGUGGGGAUGACGUCAAAUCAUCAUGCCCCUUAUGACCUGGGCUACACACGUGCUACAAUGGAUGGUACAAAGGGCUGCAAGACCGCGAGGUUUAGCCAAUCCCAUAAAAACCAUUCUCAGUUCGGAUUGCAGG